rnacentral:rRNA from 1 species
GUCUACGGCCAUGUCACCCUGACCAAGCCCGAUCCCGUCUAUCUCGGAAGCUAAGCAGGGGCGGGCCUGGUUAGUACUUGGAUGGGAGACCACCUAGGAAGACCAGGUGCUGGAGGCG